UACGUAGGGCGCAAGCGUUGUCCGGAAUUAUUGGGCGUAAAGAGCUCGUAGGCGGCUUGUCACGUCGGGUGUGAAAGCCCGGGGCUUAACCCCGGGUCUGCAUUCGAUACGGGCUAGCUAGAGUGUGGUAGGGGAGAUCGGAAUUCCUGGUGUAGCGGUGAAAUGCGCAGAUAUCUGGAGGAACACCGGUGGCGAAGGCGGUCUGCUGGGCCAAGACUGACGCUGAGGCGCGACAGCGUGGGGAGCGAACAGG
rnacentral:rRNA from 1 species